UACGGAGGGGGCUAGCGUUGUUCGGAAUUACUGGGUGUAAAGCGCACGUAGGCGGCUUUGUAAGUUAGAGGUGAAAGCCCGGAGCUCAACUCGGAAUUGCCUUUAAGACUGCAUCGCUUGAAUCAUGGAGAGGUGAGUGGAAUUCCGAGUGUAGAGGUGAAAUUCGUAGAUAUUCGGAAGAACACCAGUGGCGAAGGCGACUCACUGGACAUGUAUUGACGCUGAGGUGCGAAAGCGUGGGGAGCAAACAGGG
rnacentral:rRNA from 1 species